rnacentral:tRNA from 1 species
GGAGGGAUGGCCGAGCGGCUUAAGGCGCACGCCUGGAAAGCGUGUUUACCGAAAGGUAUCGCGGGUUCGAAUCCCGCUCCCUCCGCCA